UACAGAGGGUGCGAGCGUUAAUCGGAAUUACUGGGCGUAAAGCGUGCGUAGACGGUUAUGUAAGUCGGGUGUGAAAGCCCCGGGCUCAACCUGGGAAUUGCAUUCGAGACUGCAUAGCUAGGAUGCGGAAGAGGGAAGUGGAAUUUCCGGUGUAGCGGUGAAAUGCGUAGAUAUCGGAAGGAACAUCAGUGGCGAAAGCGACUUCCUGGUCCAGCAUCGACGUUCAGGCACGAAAGCGUGGGGAGCAAACAGG
rnacentral:rRNA from 1 species